UCCGUUUGGCAAUAGAUUGUU
rnacentral:piRNA from 1 species